rnacentral:tRNA from 1 species
GCCUGGGUGGCUCAGUCGGUUAAGCAUCUGACUUUAGUACAGGUCAUGAUCUCACAGUUUGUGGGUUUGAGCCCCACAUCGGGCU